GACGUAGGGGGCAAGCGUUGUCCGGAAUCAUUGGGCGUAAAGCGCUCGUAGGUGGAUCGGUAAGUCUGCAAAGAAAGACCCGGGCUCAACUCGGGGAACGGUGUGGAUACUACCGAUCUUGAGGCAAUCAGAGGAUGAUGGAAUUCCCGGUGUAGCGGUGAAAUGCGUAGAUAUCAGGAGGAACACCGGUGGCGAAGGCGGGUCUCUGGGCCGUAACUGACGCUGAGGAGCGAAAGCGUGGGGAGCGAACAGG
rnacentral:rRNA from 1 species